CCUACGGGAGGCAGCAGUGGGGAAUAUUGGACAAUGGGGGGAACCCUGAUCCAGCCAUGCCGCGUGUGUGAAGAAGGCCCUCGGGUUGUAAAGCACUUUCAGUGAGGAAGAACGCCUGGUGGUUAAUACCCAUCAGGAAAGACAUCACUCACAGAAGAAGCACCGGCUAACUCCGUGCCAGCAGCCGCGGUAAUACGGAGGGUGCGAGCGUUAAUCGGAAUUACUGGGCGUAAAGCGCGCGUAGGUGGCUUGAUAAGCCGGUUGUGAAAGCCCCGGGCUCAACCUGGGAACGGCAUCCGGAACUGUCAAGCUAGAGUACAGGAGAGGAAGGUAGAAUUCCCAGUGUAGCGGUGAAAUGCGUAGAGAUCGGGAGGAAUACCAGUGGCGAAGGCGGCCUUCUGGACUGACACUGACACUGAGGUGCGAAAGCGUGGGUAGCAAACAGGAUUAGAUACCCUAGUAGUC
rnacentral:rRNA from 1 species